GAUGAACGCUAGCGGCAGGCCUAACACAUGCAAGUCGAGGGGUAGAAUUAGCUUGCUAAUUUGAGACCGGCGCACGGGUGCGUAACGCGUAUGCAAUCUGCCUUGUACUGAGGGAUAGCCCAGAGAAAUUUGGAUUAAUACCUCAUAGUAUUAUGAAAUCGCAUGGUUUUAUAAUUAAAGUUCCAACGGUACAAGAUGAGCAUGCGUCCCAUUAGUUAGUUGGUAAGGUAACGGCUUACCAAGACGAUGAUGGGUAGGGGUCCUGAGAGGGAGAUCCCCCACACUGGUACUGAGACACGGACCAGACUCCUACGGGAGGCAGCAGUGAGGAAUAUUGGUCAAUGGACGCAAGUCUGAACCAGCCAUGCCGCGUGCAGGAUGAAGCAUCUAUGGUGUGUAAACUGCUUUUGUACGGGAAGAAACACUCCUACGUGUAGGAGCUUGACGGUACCGUAAGAAUAAGGAUCGGCUAACUCCGUGCCAGCAGCCGCGGUAAGAC
rnacentral:rRNA from 1 species